rnacentral:rRNA from 1 species
GACGAACGCUGGCGGCGUGCUUAACACAUGCAAGUCGAACGAUGAUGCCAGCUUGCUGGUGGAUUAGUGGCGAACGGGUGAGUAACACGUGAGCAACCUGCCCCUGACUUCGGGAUAACCGCGGGAAACCGUGGCUAAUACCGGAUAUGACGCGCUAUCGCAUGGUGGUGUGUGGAAAGAUUUAUCGGUUGGGGAUGGGCUCGCGGCCUAUCAGCUUGUUGGUGGGGUGGUGGCCUACCAAGGCGACGACGGGUAGCCGGCCUGAGAGGGUGACCGGCCACACUGGGACUGAGACACGGCCCAGACUCCUACGGGAGGCAGCAGUGGGGAAGAUUGCACAAUGGGCGCAAGCCUGAUGCAGCGACGCCACGUGAGGGAUGACGGCCUUCGGGUUGUAAACCUCUUUCAGUAGGGAAGAAGGCCUUCGGGUUGACGGUACCUGCAGAAGAAGCGCCGGCUAACUACGUG